GACAGAAGCCAACUGCAGGAGCUGUGGUGAUGACUCACAGGGUAGAGCAUCUGCUGCUCUCUCAGAAGAACCACAUGGACCCUAACAAUUGGGUGCUUCCUACACAAGAAGUCACAUGACCAGAGAGUGUCAUUUGGCAAGGAAACAAGAACUUGUUCAAAGGUCUGCAUAGGAACCAAUCUAUCACGUGGAUAUGCAAUAAUGAGAGCCUUCUGAAGAUGCCUAGACAAUCCUGGGAUGAGUAACAGCCUUUUAUGGAACUGAAAACUGAGUCCUAAUGACCCUGGCAGAAUGAUGUGUAAACAGCACAAGAGAUAGAACCAGAGAUGAAGACCGUCCAAUCCAGAACAAAGAAAGUCAGAAAUGGCCAUUCCACAGGUGAUAGCCUUUCUGACCAGGACUUACCUAGACAAGGUUAUCUCCUUCUUCAGCUUAUGGUUGGUCUCAUGGAUCUCAGUGUUCUCCAUGUCUAAGUUGUGCAGAAUUGACAUGACCGCCUCCUCCAUUCUCUCCAGGUCUUCAUAAUAUGGAUUU
rnacentral:sRNA from 1 species